AGCACAAUGGUUAAGCAUUUGGCUGCUAACCAAAAGGCUGGUAGUUCAAAUCCACC
rnacentral:tRNA from 1 species